CCAGAAGGUCAUGGCAUCUGUUUUCUGGAAUGCAAAAGGAAUUCUGCUUCUAGAUUAUCUCCCAACUGGUGAAACAAUUACAGGACAAUACUAUGCUAUGCUCCUGCACCAGCUACAGAAAAGAUGCAUGAAAAAAGACAGUUUGGCAAGGAAGAAAGUCGUCUUUCAUAGGACAGUUUGUGUCCAUACAAAAGUGUCGUUGUCAUGUCAAACUUACACGAACUAAGAUUAGAUUUGUUGCCACACCCCCUGAUUUGACUCCAUGGCUCCAUCAGACUUCCAUGUCUUCCCCAAAAUGAAAAUUUUUCUUGUUGGAUGGUGAUUCUCAUCAGAUGUAGAACUGACAUCCGGUGUUGAUGGGCAUUUUUCAGGCCUCAAGAAAUCUAAUUUUCGAGAUGGGAUAAAAGCAUUGAAACGUCACCGAACCAAGGGCAUUAGUGUAGUGGGAGACUGCCUUGAAAAAAAAAAAAUUUUUCACUGAGGUUCCUGUAUUAUGUCCUGAAAUAAUAUCUUGUGGGCGACAGAAGUAGUCCCAGUUCCAUUUUUUGUUGUGGGGUGUCAUUUAACAUGUUGAAAUCAACUGUCCAUAUUGCCUUUUAAUCAAAGCUGUAACAUUUGUAACACUGCCUUCAGUUGUUAUUGUUGAUAUUUUACUGUGUUUGGAAAUUGUACCUCCAUGCCUUAUGGAAAUAACUUCAUUGAUGUUAAUUAAGCUUUAUUUGUUAGUAAUUAAUUUUAAAUGUGUAAUUUUGUCAUUUGCUACUCUUGUUCAUUAUCAGGUUACAUGUGUGUGAAACUUUGUAGAUUACAUUAAAGAUAUGUCUGAAGAAAAGUUAAAGCAAUAAAUUUUUUUAGUAAUUGUA